GGGUUACUCCUUGGCGCUUGCGCGCUGUUUUGAUGAAGAUUCGCACCUCUAUCAAAACGGGUAACCCCGCCUCUUGGCAAGGCCUUACUGUCAGAUCAAGUCUGAACUUCUACACGUUAGGCACGCUGGCGCGGCCCGCGGAGAUGCGGAACACCGAUAUCAUGUCCUUCAAGCUAGACGACUGAGAGGACAUCGAUUGCGCAGCCG
rnacentral:sRNA from 1 species